rnacentral:rRNA from 1 species
UACGGGGGGAGCAAGCGUUGUUCGGAUUUACUGGGCGUAAAGGGCGCGUAGGCGGCCAGCACAAGUCAGUUGUGAAAUCUCCGAGCUUAACUCGGAACGGUCAACUGAUACUGUGCGGCUAGAGUGCAGAAGGGGCAACUGGAAUUCUUGGUGUAGCGGUGAAAUGCGCAGAUAUCAGGAAGAACACCAAUGGCGAAGGCAGCUCUCUGGGACGGUACUGACGCUGAGACGCGAAAGCGUGGGGAGCGAACAGG